rnacentral:rRNA from 1 species
AACGAACGUUGGCGGCGUGCCUAACACAUGCAAGUCGAGCGCGGGCAGGACUUCGGUCCUGUUCCGAGCGGCGCACGGGUGAGUAACACGUGAGUAACCUGCCUCGAAGUUUGGGAUAACCGCCCGAAAGGGUGGCUAAUACCGGAUAAGCCCCCACUGGCACAGGCCAGAGAGGGAAAAGGACCUUGACGCUUCGAGAUGGGCGUCGCGUCCCACUUAGCUAGUUGGUGAGGUAACGGCUCACCAAGGCGAAGAUGGGUAGCUGGUCUGAGAGGAUGAUCAGCCACACUGGAACUGAGACACGGUCCAGACUCCUACGGGAGGCAGC